ACAAACCCAGAAUUUAAAUUUUAAGAUUUACUAUAGACUUUUAUUAAGUACCCUAGAUGAAUAAUUAUUUAUAGUGGCUGAGAAUUUAGACAUGAGAAAAAUUUAAACUACACAGCCAAAACGAUUCAGAAUAAUUCUUUGACUAUGCUUCAAAGCAUUCCUAGCAAUUACUAAUAUCUAACUUAAAUCUUCAAAAUUAAAUACUUAAAUCGAACAAAUCAGAUGGAGAAGAAUCUAGUAGCCAACAUUUCAUUGUAAGUCAAAAAGGAAAUACAAAUUUGAGAUAUGUACCUAAUUUCUCAUGAACUGACUAAGAUUUAACAAAUAAAGGCUAGGUGAAGGAAGGUUGGAACUCAGCAAAGUAGAAAAUCCACAAAUACAACAUAUACAACAGCAUCACAGUGACGCCAGACUCAACUUUCAUCCAAAAAUAGCUCGAAUUGCAACCGGUUUGGAGAUUUCUCAUCCGUAUUCACUUGUAGCAGUGAGCAAAUAAAGGAUGACGAGUGAUUUUCCGGCAAAAAUAAGAACAAUACCGGUCAGAUCUUGUUCGAUAUGAAACACCAUUAGUGAACAAAAUGGGAGCUGCAAUUUUGGCGACUUCCAACAAGUUUCAUUUCAACAUAAAGAGGGGUGAAAGAGAUGGAAGAACAUGGGUGUUCUUUGGUGUGAAGAACAGGGGUCUGCUUUGCGUUCUUCGCAUGGGAUUUUGAGAAAUGAAAGAAGAAUAAGAAAAGAGCUCUUGUGCGCUGUUUCUUUGGUUUUUUGGGAGGGAUCCGGUCUUCUCGUUCUUCUCUUGCGAUUUUUGAUGAAGAAGAAGAAGAUAAGGAGCGUCGUUUGCCUGAAAAAGAAAGGGGUUUGAUUUCUAUCGCUUAUGUCUAGGAAAGGAAUGGGAAUUUAGGUGUUUUAAGGAGUGAUAUGGGCCAGGGACGGAUUGGGCUUCUAGAGGGGAUGGGCUAGGACAAGUUUGGAGAGGGAAUGGGUUUUCUGAAACCAAAUUUAGCCCAAUUUCCAAAUGAAAACAAAACCUGCCCAUUUUUCUUUUGUUGCUUCUUUUCCUUUUCUUUAAUUUAAAACCUAGCUAAAUUAAUUAAGUUCUAAAUUUAAUCCUAAAUUAUAAAAUUAAACUAAUCAUCUAUUUGUAUUAUUUUCCAAUUAAUUAAUCCUAAAUUAAUAAAGAGAAAAUUACUAUUCCAAUAUUAAAAGCUAAAAAUGUAAAAAUUAACAAUAUUUUUGCUUAAUAAAAUUAAUUCCUACAUGCAAACUGAGCCUAAGAUGGCAUGAAAUUAAACCGUGACAAUUGUUAUCAUUUUUCUAUGAUUUUAAAAUACUAAAAUGCAUGAAAUGCAACUAAAUAAAGAAAAACUCCUAAAAAUCAAGUAAAAUAUUUUUUUUUGUUCUAUUUUUAGGAGUUAUUUUCAUGUAGGGCAAAAAUUGGGUGCUCACAGCUGCCCCUCUUUACUCGGAAACAUGAAGAGUUUUUGGGCAAAGAUAAAAUGAGCAACUACGAGCAAUUUUUACCCGUUUGAAACUCCAUUUGGAAGCAUUUUAAAAACGUUUGACCUAACAUUGCUUCGAAGGUUGCCUACAUAUCCUUGGCUAUAAAAGAAUCAGGUCGGUGUAGUUCUUGAAGUUUUGGUAGCUGGGACUACCGAGAAGCUGUGAUUUCAUUGUUGUUGUUGCUUGUUUCUGCUUGCUGAGCUCCUUAUUACACCAAAAUGAAAAAUGAAAAACUAAACUAGCUAAGCCUAUCAGCUAUGAGUUACAAGAUUCCUAUCUAUAAAUCAUCUGUAGUUUGAUCUUGAAUCUUGGAUGGUUCUUCCUGCAAACUUUGAUCUAAAUCUUGAUGCUCGUUAGCUGCAACCGCUAGUUCAUUCUUCUUCAGCAUUUCAGAUCAAGGCAGGACAUGCGAAGCUUGUGACUUCAAUCAAAUUUUGAGUAGUCAGCAUCUUUUCUCCGUUUCUGCACCUUGAGUUCAACUUCUUUUCUUCUUUCUUCUUUUAACUGGGUCGAGACUUCUUCUUUUGGUCAUCUCAAACCUUGUGCCUCACGGUGAAAACCUGUUUAGGCACCUAAUCAAACAAAUGAAAGAAAUUUUUCUGCCCCAGUUUUCACUAGGAAAAUUUCGUGAAUUAUUGUAACAAAAUCUAAAUUAUUUCUUUAUUGAAAUCAAUAAAAUCAGGAUUGUGUAUCCUUGGGAAAAAGAGAUUAGGGAGUGAAGCCAUAUAUCUAUACUAAAAAUCAACUAGGGAGUGGAGACCCUAUGUUGGAAAAGUGACUAGGGAGUGGAGACCUUAUAUCUAAAAUAUAGCCAACUAGGGAGUGGAGACCCUAUGUUGGAAAAGCAACCAAGGAGUGGAGACCAUAUGUCUAAAAUAAACUCGACUAGGGAAUGGAAACCCUAUGUUGGAAAGGCGACUAGGGAGUGAAGACACUAUGUCUAAAACAAACUCAACUAGGCAGUGGAGACCCUAUGUUGGGAAGGCGACUAGGGAGUGGAGACCCUAUGUCUAAAAAUAAACUCAACUAGGCAGUGGAGACCAUAUGUUGGAAAGGCGACUAUGGUGUGGAGACCCUAUGUCUAAANUAAACUCAACUAGGGAGUGGAGACCCUAUGUUGGAAAGGCGACUAGGGAGUGGAGACCCUAUGUCUAAAAUAACAUCAACUAGGAAGUGGAGACCCUAUGUUGGAAAGCCGACUAGGGAGUGGAGACCCUAUGUCUAAAAUAAAAUCAACUAGGGAGUGGAGACCCUAUGUUGGAAAGGCGACUAAGGAGUGGAGACCAUAUGUCUAAAAUAAACUCAACUAGGGGGUGGAGACCCUAUGUUGGAAAAAUGACUAGGGAGUAGAGACCCUAUGUCUAAAAAUAAAAUCAACUAGGGAGUGGAGACCCUAUGUUGGAAAAGCAGACUAGGGAGUGGAGACCUUAUGUCUAAAAUAAAAUCAACUAGGGAGCGGAGACCUAUGUUGGAGAAGCAGACUAGGGAGUGGAGACCCAUAUGUUUGAAAAGCGACUAGAGAAUGGAGACCCUAUGUCUAAAAUAAAAUCAACUAGGGAGUGGAGACCAUAUGUUGGAAAAAAAUGUAACUAGAGAUUGGGGACCCUAGGCUAUCAUGUUUUUGAAUUUUCUUCUUCUUUUAUUUUUGUUUUAAGAAAAUGAGUCAAAAUGUAGGAAAGAAUUCGGAGGAGACUUCCCUUUUGGAUUGAUUAUUGCUUCAAAGCUGUUUCCAGCCAUUGCGCAAUUUCUCUUUGGUUGCACCUGCUUCUUGCAAGGUUGCUUUGGAUUGCACCUGUUUCAUGUUUUCAAAUAAAGAACAAUUGUUAGUUUGAAAUGGUGGUUGGUUUUGUUGCCUUGAUUGUUUCAAUCACUUGAUCUUUGCCUGGCUUCUUUGAUUAGGAUCUCAAAUGCAACUGCUCGUUUACUGGGGACCGAUUUCAUUUCAGGCCCUAAGAACCUCUGGUUUUUCUAGAUUUUGCCAUGACGGUUGGUCGGUGGAACUCAACCUUUUCGACUUUAUUUUGCCUUCGUAGUCCUUUCCCUUUUGACUUCCUUUCUUUUUUAUUUUUUUUUCUCUCUUUUUUUUCUCUUAUUUUUUUUUAAAAACAAAUUUUGGAGCAUUAGGGACUUUUGGCUCCUCAAACUUUGUCGCAACGGCUAGUCACGUGGGACUUAACUUUUUCCAACUUUAUUUUGCCUUCGUAGGCCUUUCAUUUCUGGCUUCUUUCUUCCAACUUUAAAUUAAGAUCAUUUGGGUACCUUGGCUUUUCAAACUUUUGCCGAGAUGGUUGACCACGUGAAACUCAACUUUUUCAGCUUCAUUUGCCUUUAUAGGCACUUCAAUUUUAUUUUCUCCUUCUAAGAGUUUUGAUUUCGAUGUAUCGGCUGUCAUGGCCAGUCGAGGCCGACUUACCCCUGACGAGGCUGGGUGCCUUUUGCAUAUUAGCUUGUAUCAAAUGUGAACCCUAUAAAUCAGUCUUACCAUCCUUUAUUUGUCUUAGUUUCAGAACAGAGUUAGACCUAAUGGGAUUCAAAGAAAACAAAAAAUGGAAUGGAGAAUGGGUUUAAAACAAGAAGUGUCCCGUUCGGGGAAAGGAAAGAAGUACUUAUCUGGAGUACAUGCGGACUUCAAUGAACAUGACAUGCCUUUUGGAAUAGAUGUCUGAUCUGUGUAAACCGUCCGACUCUCAUAAAUUCAUCACACCUUUUGCCUCAAAAUCGAGAAACCUAGCUAGGACUUUGUCGAUACCGAUGGCUGUGAGAAUCCUCUUUUCGAUCAAGGGCGCCCUUUGCGGGUUUUCAUGAGCUGACCUCUCUCAUUUCUCUACUCACCAUCGCCUUAUAGUGCUCUUUGCAAGUUUUCACUAACAAGACUCUAUCAUUUUGAUUUCUUUGCUUAUUGUCGCCUUACGAUGCCUGUGUGGGUUUUCACCAAUAAGACUAUCUCAUUUUGACUGUAUCGGAUCUGAGUAACUGUAUUCUUUGGUCCUUGAACAUUCUCAUCGAUUGAUCGGAAGGACUUGAACAAGGUUUGGGUAAAAAAGGAUUUGGAUUGAGUUACAACUUUGGAACCUUUUGGGGGGGGGGGGAUCAUCGCCGAACCAUUAUAACAUCUGCCCCAGUUUCACUUUUUGGGGGGAUUUGAAUUUUUAUUUUGGUGUGACUGAACCUCAGAGAGGCUGGCUACGUAUCCUUUCAGAAUCAAGUCGAACGUAGUUCAGGAAACUUUGUUUUUUGAUUUUCUUUUAUUUUUCUGUUUUGUUUUGUUUUCUCUUUCUUUUUCCUGUCCUUUUUCAUUCAUUUUCUUUGUUUUUUUCUUCCACCCUUUUUUCCCUCUCUUUUUAUUAUUAUUUUUUCAAAACCUUUUUUGUAAUAGCACUUUCAGGUUCCAAAGAGGGUAAUCAAAGAAGAGUAACCGACUCAAAGGGUUUGCAAAGGGUUGAUAGUGUUUGGGUAGCGAAAAUGAAAGUCAUCGUCAUCCCAACCGGAGAAUAUUAAUAUUAUAUGGAGGAUCAAACAUAGUACCUUUUGGCUGCAUUUGCAUUGACAGUUGUUACAGGGACAUUUCCUUCGAUGUGUCCCAAGUACAAUGCACUCUUUUAGCAAUACUCUUGUUGCAAUAUACGGACCUUUCCAAACUGAAGCCAAUUUUCCUUUAGUUGUUCCAACUCUUUGUUUUAUUUCCUUUAACUUAUCUUCAUUGAAAUUUGAUUUUUGAUUCAUUAUUUCGAAGUCUGAUAGUGUUUUAGUAUCUGGGUAUGAAGUCCGAAAGCAUGUCAUGUUAUUGAAAUAGGCAUUUAACAGAACUAAAAAGAGAAUAAGGAAAAUGACAAGAUUAAGAAANNNNNNNNNNNNNNNNNNNNNNNNNNNNNNNNNNNNNNNNNNNNNNNNNNNNNNNNNNNNNNNNNNNNNNNNNNNNNNNNNNNNNNNNNNNNNNNNNNNNNNNNNNNNNNNNNNNNNNNNNNNNNNNNNNNNNNNNNNNNNNNNNNNNNNNNNNNNNNNNNNNNNNNNNNNNNNNNNNNNNNNNNNNNNNNNNNNNNNNNNNNNNNNNNNNNNNNNNNNNNNNNNNNNNNNNNNNNNNNNNNNNNNNNNNNNNNNNNNNNNNNNNNNNNNNNNNNNNNNNNNNNNNNNNNNNNNNNNNNNNNNNNNNNNNNNNNNNNNNNNNNNNNNNNNNNNNNNNNNNNNNNNNAAAACAUCCGGAUCACACCUUGAGAUAAUCCGGGCGCAGAAAGGAUAGCAAGACUGGAUACCGAGACUCCCGUUUGAUAGGUAACUUUCAGGCUUGGCGAUCGUCUUUAGGCUUUUCUUAUGUUUCGGCAAUGGCUGCAACGGCCUUCAGUGCCAGAUCAAAUUUCUUAGCUUCUCAAAUCAUUCCGACUAUUGGCCCGAUGUUGUGGGCAGGCAACAGAUUGUCAUUCACAUCAGGAGCUUCUUCAUCCCGAAAAAUGAUUAUUUCAGUUUCAAUCAAAUCUUCGACUGCCCUUUUGAGGGUCCAACAGUCCUCGGUACUGUGUCCCACUACUCCAGAGUGGUAUUCACAUCUAGCAUCAGCUCGGUGCGAGGGGGACUCGGGGUUUGGCCGGUUCGGGGCCAUUGGCUGCAAUAGUUCUAGCCUGAUAAGCUUUUGAAACAAGCUUGAAUACGAUUCACCAAUAGGGGUGAACUGACUCUUUCUGAAAGGUUCUCUAGGCUGAGGAUUGUAUUAGGGAUCAUUUAGUUGAGGAUUAUAUGGAGCUUGGUAAGGAUGGGCAUUUCUGGGAGGUGGAACUCGAUUUUGUGUAUAAUGUUAUGGCUGGGUGUAAGAUUGCGCGCUCAUCACCGUAUACAGAGGCGGUGCCACGACAUAAGCAUCAUCUUGAAGGGGAUAAUAGUGUGGUGGGACCAUAGGAGGCACAUAUGACUGGUGAAUGACCUGCGGGUCCCCCUCGAGCUUGAAACCAUUAUGGCUCCCUCCUCACUCCCAUUGUUGUUCAUCAAACCCUCCGAACCAUUUUGAACAUCUGGUGAUGUGGCUUUAAAAGCAGCAUGACCCAAGAUUUGGCCCAUUUUUAGAACGUUUUCAACCAUUUCCGCAAUUUUGAUAGCCUCAGCGAACGACUUACCCACAACAGACAUCAUGCUCCGGAAGUAGUCAGCCUCUUGGGCCUGCAGAAAAACCAUGACCAUUUUAGUUUCAUCCAUUGGAGGUUUUACCCUGGCAACUUGCUCACGCCAUUUGACAGUAUAUUCGCGGAAGUUUUCCGCGGUUUUCUUUUUCAAAUUGGACAAAGAGUUUCUAUCGGGAGCGAUAUCCACAUUAUAUUAGAACUGGCGGACAAAAUCUCAGGCCAUAUCGUCUCACACAUGCCAAUUGGUAGUUUCUUGAUCCAUAUACCACUCAGAAGCGAUUCAAGUAAGGCUUUCACCAAAAUAGGCAAUUAGCAGCUCCUCUUUUCCACCAGCACCCCUUAACUGGUUACAGUAUCAUUUCAGAUGAGCGACCGGGUCUCCGUGCCUAUUGCACUUUUCAAAUUUUGGCAUCUUGAAGCCAGCUGGCAAGUGGAUUUGAAGCCAGCUGGUAAGUGGACAUGGGGAAACAUACAGAGGUCAGAGUAUGCGACACUCUUUUGGCCAUUCAGACCUUGCAUGUUUUUCAGGCGUUGUUCCAGGCUCUUCAUCUUCCGAGACAUUUCCUCUUGCUCAGGAUUUUUAAUGAACUUUUCUUUCUCCACUGAGAGAUCACAUUGUGGAGGUUGAGUGAAUGAGUUUGGGGUCACAUAUGUCAUUUAUGAUUGAAGUUGUGGACCCUCAAAGGUGAACAUUGGAGGCUCAACAUACGGCCGUGGUAAAGUUAGUUGUGCUCUGGUGCAGACUGGUGCUGUAGAGAACAAUAUUGGAGGUGCCCAGGAAACUGGCGCCUGGGGGAGAACCACAGAAGGCAUUCCGGGAUCAUCGAACGGGAAGGUGCCCGCAUGGGAUAAGCGAGUUGGGCACAGGGGCGUUGGUAACCUCGCUUGACCUGGGGAUCAACUCAGGGAACCCAAGAAUUGCAGCGGUUCCCUACCAUUAGACCAUGACGCCGCAUGAAUCAGAUCUUGCGUAGUUCGGGAAGAUUGGGAAUGGAGUAAAUAAACUAACUCUUUUUUUUUUUUUACUUUUUGUAAAACUUAGACCAUGAAAGCUUUAAGGCAAAAGAAAAUCAUUUUUGAUUUUUUUCGAUUUUUUUUCUUUUCUUUUCUUUUGCUUUUCUUUUUGAAAUUUUGAAAAGAAAUACUUUAAAAGAAGAAAGAAAAUAUUUUUUUGGAUUUUUGAUUUUGAUUUUGAUUUUAUUAUUUUAUUUUUGAAAGAAAGACUUCUAAAAAUCCCUUUUCUUUUGAUUUAAUUUUUGGGAAUUUCAAAAGUAAAAAAGAAAAUAUUUUUGUUAGAAUUUUCAUUUUUUUUUAUAUUUUUCUAAAGGAGAAAGAAAAUAUUUUCAGAUUUUUGAUGUUGCCUCUUAAUUUUCAAAAGAAGGACUCUUUUAAGAAAAAGGUAUUUUGAAUUUCUGAUUUUUUAUUUUUAUUUACAAAAGUACUUCUAAAGAAAAGCAAAAAUAUUUUUGGACUUCAAUUUUUCAAAUUUUUUUUUGACAUUUACGAAAGAAAUACUUUUAAAGAAAGAAAAGAAUAUUUCCCCCUUUUUUUGGUUUUUUUUUAAUUUUUUGGAAAAAUACUUCAAAAUAAAGGAAACCUGUAUUUCGGAUUUUUAUUCUUUUUCAUUUUUCUUUUUAUUUCUUUUUUCCCAUAUGAAAGACUUCAGAAAGAAGGAAACUAUUUUUGAUUUUAAAAACAUCUUUUUUUUGAAUUUUCUAUGGAAAGAUUUCUAAAGAAGGAACUAAAAGAAAAUAUUUUUGGAUUUUUGAAAAUUGGGGCCGAAACCGAUGAGGUUUGCCGACGUAUCUUACAUCCGGUGAAAAUCAGACCCAUGUAGUUCUGUCAAUUUUGAUGGAACAAGGGAAACAUGGCACUUGAAAAUUUUGGCUCAUUUUGAAAUGACAUUUUUUCAGAAUUUCGGAAGAGUUUCAGGAUUUUCAGAAUUUUGGAAGAGUUUCAGGAUUUUCUAAAGAAGGAACUAAAAGAUGUGCAUUUAAAAACAUCUUUUUUUUUCUUUCCCUAUUCUAGAAGUCGGUCAACAUGCUAACUGAAUCGAACAAAUUCGCAAGUAGCACAUAAGAUGCAUCAGGAUGGUCUUUUAAUCUUUGGGUACACCUGUCCUAGACAGACCCAACCCCUGUGUUGAGUCCCCAAAGUCAAAUGCACGUGAUGCAAACAAGCGUUCCUACUAGGGAUCCAGUAUGAAGUUAUGUUAUUCUAGGUUUAAAAACCUGGGUGUAUUGUUCUAGACCUGGCUUACCCGAGUGGAUAGCUUGAGCAGGGGGGAGCAGCGUUCCGGGAAUACAGAAGCUUCACCUGCUUUGCUACUUGUCCGAACCUCGUUCUAAAAGUGGGAUAUGACUCUAACAGAAAAAAAAGUCACACGAAGUGCACACUUCCCAGAUGAUUGAGAAGACUCAGAGAGAAGAGGGUUUCGUAACAAUUUAUAUACAGUUCAAACAAUAUCAAAGCGGUAAAAAACGACAUUUAGCACAUUAGGCUUAAACAUGUAGAAAUUAGAUAAUAAAUAAAGCCAAGUAUAACAAUUAUUCUAAGCUCGAAUUCUAAACCUUGAACUAGAAGUUCUGGAUUCUUUUACCCAGUAGAGUCGCCAGAGUUGUCACAGCUCCUUUCACACCCCGAGAAGGGUCUAUGGGAGUUUUUUCAAUUAAAGUGACAUUAUAUGAAAUGGGAUUAUUUUAUUUAUUUUCAGAGUCGCCACUUGGAAUAGUUUAUUUGGUGUCCUAAGUCACCAAUUUAUUUUAAAAUCCCAAUCGAAGAAAUUUCGAAUUUAUUUAAAAGUCUGCGAACCUGAAAUUCUAAGUAAGAAAUUUUGUUAACCGAGAGAAGGUGUUAGGCAUUCCUCGGUUCCGUGGUUCUAGCACGGUAGCUUAAACUAUUAAUAUUGGCCUAUUAUUUGAUUUAUUACAUGUUUUAAACCUAUUGUGUAUUUUUGACUUUUAUAAUCGCCUUUUAUUUAUUUUAAAACCGCUUUUAGGAUUUAUGGAAUUAUUUUCUGAACAAGUUACGAUUGUCAUACACUUGUUUGAUUUGGAACACGCCACGAACUACGCAACAUGAAAUGCACCCGCGAUUCACGACAUGCUUAUUUUAUUAUUAAUGUUCGAAGUUGUUACGAUCGGGUCACAUAAAAUGCACACCCGAUUUUGGGGAUUAGGUAUCAUAACAAUGUCACGGGAACCGUACCCAUAGUCACGGUGAUUUUAUUAUAAACAUGCCUAAACCAAACUACGAAUGUUUCAAGUGUUUUAUACACUAGUUUUGUAUUUAUGUGAGGGCCAUGGAUUACAGGAUUCAUUUGUAGAUGACAUGCCUCAAUAUUUUUUAAAAGAUUUGUACUCAAUUAAGGCAAACUAUGGAUGUUCAUAUGAUUCGCUAGCUUAAUAUUGACAGUUGUGAAUGGGAUAAAUAGUUAUGUCCAAACAUUCUACUUCAAACACACAAAUAGUUCUCAAUGACCAUAGUCUCUAACUUGCGUCAAUUCUUUUGAUAACAAUCCUAAGCACACAGUACUUGAGGCAAAUUAAACCCCCACUACACAAAAAAUUCUCUGUAUGGAACACUUAAGGGAAAUUUUUUCCUUCUCAUUCAUUAUUAAAGAAUUGACGUAAAUAAGAGUAUAUAAAAUUCCAAUAGAGAGGAAAUCUGAUUAAAACACACAGGAAAUGGCAAAUAUCAACAAAUUACUGCCUAGAGUUCUUCGUAUUAAGUAAAGAGUACGUAAAUCACACAUAACAUACUAAAUUAGUGCAUUUCCUACGAGAUAGAAUUCUUCUAACUGUAGCCUUUUAUUUUCACCACUGUUGCCUAGAAGUUUGGUAAAUUAAAAUGCUUCUAAAUAUUCGGUAGCAACAAGCAACAACAUUUAUAUCAAGUUCCGCUAGCAUCUUCACAAUGAUAAUCCUAAUGUUCAUAAAAACAGUCAAACAGACCCAAAAUAUAAAUUUUGAGAUUUACUCUAGACUUUUGUUAAAUAUCCUAGAUGAAUAAUUAUUUAUAGCGGCUAAAAAUUUAGACAUGAGAAAAAUUUCAACUACACAGCCAAAACAAUUCAGAAUAAUUCUUUGACUAAGCUUCAAGGCAUUCCUAGCAAUCACUAAUAUCCAACUUAAAUCUUCAAAUUUAAAUACUUAAACCGAACAAAUCAGAUGGAGAAGAAUCUAGUAGCCAACAUUUCAUUGUAAGUCAAAAAGGAAAUACAAUUUGAGAUAUGUACCUAAUUUCUCAUGAACUGACUAAGAUUUAACAAACAAAGGCCAGGUGAAGGAAGGUUGGAACUCAGCAAAGCAGAAAAUCCACAAAUACAGCAUAUACAGCAGCAACACAGUGAUGCCGGACUCAACUUUCGUCCAAAAAUAGCUCGAAUCAUAACUGGUUUGGAGCUUUCUUCAUCUGCAUUCACUUGUAGCAGUGAGCAAAUAAUGGAUGAUGAGUGAUUUUCCGACAAAAAUAAGAACAAAACCGGUCAGAUCUUGUUAGAUAUGAAACACCAUUAGUGAACAAAAUGGGAGCUGCAAUUUCGCCGACUUCCAAUGAGUUUCAUUGCCAUAGAAAUAGGGGUGAAAGAAAUAUAAGAAUAGGGGUGUUCUUUGGUGUGAAGAAUAGGGGUCUGGUUUGCGUUCUUCGCAUAGAAUUUUGAGAAAUGAAAGAAGAAGAAGAAAAGAGCUCUUGAGCGCCGUUUCUAUGGUUUUUUGGGAGGGAUCCGGUCUUCUAGUUCUUCUCUUGUAAUUUUUGAUGAAGAAAAAGAAGAUAAGGAGCGCCAUUUGUUUGAAAGAGAAAGGGAUCUGAUUUCUAUCGCUUAGGUGUAGGAAAGGACUGGGGAAUGAUUUAGGUGUUCUAAGGAGUGAUAUGGGUCAAGGACGGAUUGGGCUUCUAGAGGGGAUGAGCUAGGACAAGUUUGGAGAGGGAAUGGGUUUUCUAAAACCAAA
rnacentral:lncRNA from 1 species